GAUGAACGCUAGCGAUAGGCCUAACACAUGCAAGUCGAGGGACAUCACGGAGUAGCAAUACUUUGGUGGCGACCGGCGCACGGGUGAGUAACGCGUAUGCAAUCUACCUACAACAGGGGGAUAACCCGGAGAAAUCCGGACUAAUACCGCAUAACACAGGGGUCCCGCAUGGGAAUAUUUGUUAAAGAUUUAUCGGUUGUAGAUGAGCAUGCGUUCCAUUAGGUAGUUGGUGAGGUAACGGCCCGCCAAGCCUGCGAUGGAUAGGGGAACUGCGAGGAUUGUCCCCCACACUGGAACUGAGGCACGGACCAGACUCCUACGGGAGGCAGCAGUGAGGAAUAUUGGUCAAUGGGCGAGGGCCUGAACCAGCCAAAUCGCGUGAAGGAAGACUGCCUUAUGGGUUGUAAACUUCUUUUGUACAGGAAUAAAAAGAGGGACGUGUCCUUCAUUGCAUGUACUGUACGAAUAAGCAUCGGCUAACUCCGUGCCAGCCGCCGCCGUAA
rnacentral:rRNA from 1 species